GCCGAAGUGGUGAAAUUGGCAAACACGCUACGUUCAGGGCGUAGUGAGCGCUUAGCUCUUGUGGGUUCAAGUCCCACCUUCGGCA
rnacentral:tRNA from 1 species